GCGGCCUAUCAGCUUGUUGGAGAGGUAACGGCUCACCAAGGCAUCGACGGGUAGCUGGUCUGAGAGGAUGAUCAGCCACACUGGAACUGAGACACGGUCCAGACUCCUACGGGAGGCAGCAGUGGGGAAUCUUGCACAAUGGGCGAAAGCCUGAUGCAGCAACGCCGCGUGCGGGAAGAAGGCCCUAGGGUUGUAAACCGCUUUCAGGAGGGAAGAAGAUGACGGUACCUCCAGAAGAAGGUGCGGCCAACUACGUGCCAGCAGCCGCGGUGACACGUAGGCACCAAGCGUUAUCCGGAUUUAUUGGGCGUAAAGAGCUCGUAGGCGGUUCGGUAAGUCGGGCGUGAAAAUCCAAGGCUCAACCUUGGGACGCCGCCCGAUACUGCUGUGACUAGAGUGCAGUAGGGGAGCAGGGAAUUCCUGGUGUAGCGGUGAAAUGCGCAGAUAUCAGGAGGAACACCAGUGGCGAAGGCGCUGCUCUGGGCUGUAACUGACGCUGAGGAGCGAAAGCGUGGGUAGCAAACAGGAUUAGAUACCCUGGUAGUCCACGCCGUAAACGUUGGGCACUAGGUGUGGGUCUCAACCAACGAGAUCCGCGCCGUCGCUAACGCAUUAAGUGCCCCGCCUGGGGAGUACGG
rnacentral:rRNA from 1 species